rnacentral:lncRNA from 1 species
UAGAAGGCAUUAUAAAAGAUUCAAAUGGCACCUUGAAAGGCUUUUCAACAAAAGGGGUUUCCUAAAAGAUAAGCAAAAAUGAGUCAAAGGAUCACAGUAAGAAGAAACAAAUGGUUAUAAGAAGACAAGCAUUGAUAGAUCCAAAUUUCAGUCUUUUGUGACUUCGGAUAGAACCAAUAGUUGAUUUCUGCAAAUGUUCUAAUCAGUAAUUUGAUAUUAG